GACGUAGGGCGCGAGCGUUGUCCGGAUUUAUUGGGCGUAAAGAGCUCGUAGGCGGCUUGUCGCGUCGACUGUGAAAACCCGCGGCUCAACCGCGGGCCUGCAGUCGAUACGGGCAGGCUAGAGUUCGGUAGGGGAGACUGGAAUUCCGUGGUGUAGCGGUGAAAUGCGCAGAUAUCAGGAGGAACACCGAUGGCGAAGGC
rnacentral:rRNA from 1 species